UUGAUUCCGGCAUUCGAUUUGUGCGCGCGUUCGGGUGUUUGUGUACAUGGUUGUGAUUGUGAUGUGGCUUGGUGAUGCCGACCGAGAGACGAGCUGGCUGAUGGCUGCGUGAAGUUUCGACAUUGACUUUGAUUGCCGAGUUUGUUGUUUUUAUUGACCUUUUGGAAGAUUGUGGUUAUGAGUAGAAUACGUUUAUCGGCCGAGCAGAGCUUGGGAAGCACGUAAUUAAUUUCAGCUGACGGAUUGAUUGGAAAAGUGAUUCUUACAUCAUUAAACACAAUCUAACGAAGUCGGGUUUUUCAUCAUCCCGCUGGGGGCGAUAUUUACUGGAGGAAGCAAUUUUUCUGCACUGUUACUCGAAAUCGCCACAGGAUUUCCUAAGAGGAUGUGAAACUUUCGUCCGUCUGUGGAUAAAGAAAUAUAAUCUGGAAAAGUUUUCAACUGAGUUGAGAAAGUUGCCUUGCGAUGAUUGGUGGUGCGGUUGUGUAAGCGUAAACCCGCGGCAUAGUGUGAACAAAGGCACCAGGCUGCUUCAGUGAGCGGGCUGGCAUAAAUGGGGUCGCUUGGUAAGUUAUGAUUAUGUAAUCAAUAAUGCGCGAACAGAAGGAGUU